UCAAGGUAUGACGUUUAAUUCAUAGUUUACCAGCCAUAUAGUAGGUUUUUUUAUUUUUUUUUUAAUAGUUUUGUACCACAAUUUAAUCAAAGCACUGCAUUUAGUACACAAUGUACCUAUUAACAUAUAUACUGUUUUAUCCCCUUCUCAAGUACUCUCUUUGCAUUAAAAGUGAGAAGUCUACUAACAGGCCUCUGCUUCACCAGCAGAUGGCUCUGGUUGGUUAGAGUCAUCUAUUAAACCACUACUUGGUUAUCAAACAAUAGACAGUAUUAAAAGGUUUCCUUGGUGGAGUUCCUGUGCCAGGACACCUAGUACAAUCUAUUCAUCAGCUCACCACUUGAAGAUUUUCAGAUAUUUAUUCCAGUAUCACACACAAAAGUGGCCACAGCACUGUCUGGUGCCUUUAUUGAUAAAGAGGUUAAAUAGAUAUGAUUAAUCCAAGGUGGUCACGGCCAUAAGACUUGAUGCUAGCACUGUGAUUGCUUACUUUGAAUACAUCACAUGAUUUGACUCUCCUUUAGAUGCUUGUAUGGUACAC